GACGAACGCUGGCGGCGUGCUUAACACAUGCAAGUCGAACGGAAAGGCCCUGCUUUUGUGGGGUGCUCGAGUGGCGAACGGGUGAGUAACACGUGAGUAACCUGCCCUUGACUUUGGGAUAACUUCAGGAAACUGGGGCUAAUACCGGAUAGGAGAUCCUGCUGCAUGGUGGGGGUUGGAAAGUUUCGGCGGUUGGGGAUGGACUCGCGGCUUAUGAGCUUGUUGGUGGGGUAGUGGCUUACCAAGGCUUUGACGGGUAGCCGGACUGGGAGGGUGACAGGCUCCAUGGGGAUGCGGAAGCGGCCCGGACUCAAACGGGGGGCAGCGGCGGGGAAUAUUGCACAACGGGCGGAGGCCGGAUGCAGCAACGCCGCGUGCGGGAUGACUGCUUUCGGGUGGGAAAACGCUUUCGCUUGUGACGAAGCGUGAGUGAGGGUAAUGGGUAAAGAAGCACGGGCUAACUACGU
rnacentral:rRNA from 1 species